CUCCUUUGAAUAAAGCAGGUAAGUUGACUCAUAUUUUAAAAUGAUUUCAUACUGAAGCUGACAACUUCCUAAAAUAUCCUAAUAGAUUACUUUUCAAUUCUUGCUUCAUUACAUUGUUUUGAAUUCAACACCACCCACUAAAGUUUCACAAUGGGUACACAAAACAUGCAUGUCAUUUAAAGUUAAUAUAUCUUUCCAACACGGUCAGCAUGUUUUCCAUUGACGAGAGCAGCAGUCAGGAUGAAUAAUAACUAACGAAUAUCAGUAAGCAAAAACUAUUAUAAUUACAAACAAAAUCGAUCCAAAUUUGUAAUUUUUUUAUUUUUUAUUUUUGUCAGUAGUCAGGCUUUUAUAAUCCCUGUACAUCACCACCUGACUAUGAUUUUAAGGGGUUUGGUAUAUACAAACCAAAAAAUUGAAUUAUUGAUUCAUAAUAACAAAAAGUAAAUAAAUGUACAGAGUAGACAAAAAGAAAAAGAAAAAAUAUACGGCAGUUGCUUUUUUAUAUGCAAAUUUAUAACAAAAAUCUUCCCAUAGAGUUGUAAUACCGCUAAAUCAUAGUACGUCACAUCUAGUUGCAUACGAAAAGGGGUAGAACAAAAUAUUCCCUUGAAUUUGACAGCUGUAUUAAUCCUGCAUUUCAUUGCAGUAAAACAUUUCUGAGUCCUACACACAUAUCUUGGGUGGUUCAGAGCACCAUUGUUUUUUUUAUUCGGUGUUUCAAUAAAAUAGUUUGAAAAUUGAAGUUACAUGGUCACUAAAUCUUGUAAACAUGAAAGAAAGGGGUGGACAUUUGAUUGAUUUACUACAAGUGCUGGUUAUUAUCUCAUAUACGAUGAAAUGUUAUGUGAAAUUUUGUCUAUAGUACUGGACAGGAUAAAUCUUUACUCAUACCCAGUAGUUCUUUAUUUGAAACAAAGAUAGAUUUUGCUCAAUUAAAAAAAACAUGCAAAUUUAACAAAGAAUAAAAGGGAAAAAUAAUGGUGGUAUUACACCUAGAUAUUAUGUAAGUACACAAUGUGUCAAUCGAACAUUGAACACAACUAUAGAUCAAUAUACAAAUAUACUACUAGAUGCAUUUUACAACACACUAUAGAAGAAGUUAAUAACGGUAAUGACAAGACUCUAGAGAUGACAGAGCAUUUUCAUUGACAAACAAGAUUAGUAUACACUCUAGACAUAAAUUAUACAUAUCUGUUUACAAAAUUGAAUGUUAUGUAAAAUAUAUAAAACUAACCCCACGUGUCUGCUAUUAUGAUAACAAAGGAAUAUUGACGCUUGCCGAUCUUACAGCAAUAGCUGUUGAUUCUCAUUGGUAUAUGAUUUCUUGUCGACUUCAUUGUUGGCUCGUGUUUCUUAAUCAUCAGUUUUCUGUGUGGUUGACUGAUGUUUACGCAAACAAAAAAAUCCGGGUGACAAACUAAAAUUGGAGAAAACACAUCCUCUAUAAGAGGAAAACAAUGGAACAACAGAACCACUGAACUACAACAAAAGCAAACGCCAACUUAAAAAAAGAGCUGUCUGAUAACAACUGCCAUUUUCCUGACUUGGUACAGGACAAUCUAAGAAAAAAAUAUUAGUUUAAAAUCGGUUUUAUAGCUAGCUUAACCUCCCGUUUAUAUGGCAAUGUUAAAAAGACGUUAACACGUGAAGUUGUC
rnacentral:lncRNA from 1 species